GAGCGAUUAGCACAGUGGAAAAUGCAUCCGAUUCCAGUCCGGAAGGUCACCUGUUCGAUCCAGGUAUCGCUCG